rnacentral:tmRNA from 1 species
GGGGGCGACAGGUAUCGACCGGACACGAAGAAGGUCAGGUGGCGUGCCCAGGUUCUCGGGAGGCCUGGUAAAACACCCGGGGAUGCUAAUUAAGCGUCAACGAUAGCUACAGAAUGGCUGCCUAGAGAUAGGCUGCCCGUCCGAGGCUGAUCGCCUGUGUCAGCCGAAGGACGCCAAUUCAGCAGGCUGGUUCCGGCGUUGGGCCGCAGGGCGCCGGGGCGAGACACUCUGGGGCUGGGUCGGACGGAUCCCGUUGCCGGGAGUCGGACGAUCGAGAUUAAAACGGCAACUAUGCACGUAGAAGCCUGUCCGGAACUGUCACGGGACGGGGGUUCGAAUCCCCCCGCCUCCAUUU